AUAUUACUCAGCGGAGGAGAAGAAACUAACUAAGAUUGCCCCAGUAACUGCGAGUGAAGAGGCAAGAGCUCAAUGUUAAAAUCGCGGAGCACUAGUUUCGCGAAUUGUAACCUCAAGGGGUGGACAUAGGUAGAGCCGAUGCGUAAGUUCCGAGAAUUAGGACGCCAUAGAGGGUGAAAGCCCCGUACAUAGCAUCAGCGAAGCCGACGGAAACCUUCUCAGAGUCGGGUUGUUUGGUAAUGCAGCCUAAACGGGGGGUAAACAUCCUCUAAAGCUAAAUAUGAAUGGGAGACCGAUAGCGCACAAGUA
rnacentral:rRNA from 1 species